rnacentral:rRNA from 1 species
UUAAAGUUGUUGCAGUUAAAAAGCUCGUAGUUGGAUCUCGGGUCCAGGCUGGCGGUCCGACGCCUGUCGGUUACUGCCUGCUCCUGACCUACCUCCCGGUUUUUUCGCCCUUGGUGCUCUUGACUGAGUGUCUCGGGUGGCCGGAACGUUUACUUUGAAAAGAUUAGAGUGUUCAAAGCAGGCAAUAUCGCCUGAAUAAUGGUGCAUGGAAUAAUGGAAUAGGACCUCGGUUCUAUUUUGCUGGUUUUCGGAGCUCGAGGUAAUGAUUAAGAGGGACUGACGGGGGCAUUCGUAUUACGGUGUUAGAGGUGAAAUUCUUGGAUCGCCGUAAGACGAACUACUGCGAAAGCAUUUGCCAAGCAUGUUUUCAUUAGUCAAGAACGAAAGUCAGAGGUUCGAAGACGAUCAGAUACCGUCGUAGUUCUGACCAUAAACGAUGCCAACUAGCGAUCCGCCGGAGUUGCUUCAAUGACUCGGCAGGCAGCCCCCGGGAAACCAAAGUUUUUGGGUUCCGGGGGAAGUAUGGUUGCAAAGCUGAAACUUU